rnacentral:rRNA from 1 species
AGGACGAACGCUGGCGGCGUGCUUAACACAUGCAAGUCGAACGAUGAAGCCAGCUUGCUGGUGGAUUAGUGGCGAACGGGUGAGUAACACGUGGGCAACCUGCCCCCGGCUCUGGGAUAACUCCAAGAAAUUGGUGCUAAUACCGGAUAUUCACGCUUCCUCGCAUGGGGUGGUGUGGAAAGUUUUUCGGCUGGGGAUGGGCCCGCGGCCUAUCAGCUUGUUGGUGGGGUAAUGGCCUACCAAGGCGACGACGGGUAGCCGGCCUGAGAGGGUGACCGGCCACACUGGGACUGAGACACGGCCCAGACUCCUACGGGAGGCAGCAGUGGGGAAUAUUGCGCAAUGGGCGAAAGCCUGACGCAGCGACGCCGCGUGAGGGAUGACGGCCUUCGGGUUGUAAACCUCUUUCAGCAGGGACGAAGCGAAAGUGACGGUACCUGCAGAAGAAGCACCGGCCAACUACGUGCCAGCAGCCGCGGUAAUACGUAGGGUGCAAGCGUUGUCCGGAAUUAUUGGGCGUAAAGAGCUCGUAGGCGGUUUGUCGCGUCGGCUGUGAAAGCCCGGAGCUCAACUCCGGGUCUGCAGUCGAUACGGGCAGACCUUGAGUGUUGCAGGGGAGACUGGAAUUCCUGGUGUAGCGGUGAAAUGCGCAGAUAUCAGGAGGAACACCGGUGGCGAAGGCGGGUCUCUGGGCAACAACUGACGCUGAGGAGCGAAAGCGUGGGGAGCGAACAGGAUUAGAUACCCUGGUAGUCCACGCCGUAAACGUUGGGCGCUAGGUGUGGGGGCCAUUCCACGGUCUCCGUGCCGCAUCUAACGCAUUAAGCGCCCCGCCUGGGGAGUACGGCCGCAAGGCUAAAACUCAAAGGAAUUGACGGGGGCCCGCACAAGCGGCGGAGCAUGUUGCUUAAUUCGAUGCAACGCGAAGAACCUUACCUAGGCUUGACAUGUGCGGAAAUCCUCCAGAGAUGGUGGGUCCGUAAGGGUCGCACACAGGUGGUGCAUGGUUGUCGUCAGCUCGUGUCGUGAGAUGUUGGGUUAAGUCCCGCAACGAGCGCAAGCCUCGUUCCAUGUUGCCAGCGCGUUAUGGCGGGGACUCAUGGGAGACUGCCGGGGUCAACUCGGAGGAAGGUGGGGAUGUCGUCAAAUCAUCAUGCCCCUUAUGUCUAGGGCUGCAAACAUGCUACAAUGGCCGGUACAAAGGGCUGCGAUACCGCGAGGUGGAGCGAAUCCCAAAAAGCCGGUCUCAGUCCGGAUUGGGGUCUGCAACUCGACCCCAUGAAGUUGGAGACGCUAGUAAUCGCAGAUCAG